UGUAAGUUUUGAUCUAUUGUGUAGGUGUUGUAAGUACGGGAUUGUGAACAUGGAACUAUCCUGAAUCGCCAUCAAUGAAGUCAUGUUGGUUGUUUGAGUCACUCUUUUUCUUCUUUGCAUAAUGAUCUUCAAGCCAACUUGCCUUUAAAGAAUCUAAUUCCCUCCCUGUGUUUUUUUUAUCUCUUUCAAUUGCCCUCUGAACUUCACCCCCUUUGGAAACCCAAUUGCAUCAGAGAUGGUUGGGUUCCCAGAUGCAUACACAAAUUCCUUCAAAAGCUUCCCGAUCUUCCCUUUUUCCUCUUCAUCAUCAAACUCAUCAUCCUCAUCCCAGCAAUAGUUCUUUUGUGGUUCCAUUGAUUGAAUCAGUGCAUCGGGUCAAGUAUAAUACUUGUGUCAAUCUUCGUUAUUCUUUCUACGACUGUCAAAAUAAAAGUCAUAAAUAGCUGCAAGUGUAUAAACACAUGUAACACCAGCAGGACUUAAAGGUAGAGCUCCAUAAAAGACAAAGAAUAGAUUAAAAUAGCUUCAGAAUCGAUAAAAGAGAAAGUAUACGUGACAAACUAAAAGUGAACCAGCUCCCCCACACCAAUUCAUAAGAUUUAUGAGAGUCCAAACCACAAACCCAACAACCUAUAAUAGAAACAUGGAUGGAAAUUGCCUAUUCACGGCCCAGUAGCAAUUCUCAUGUUCUUGGAAAACCCAACACGAACACCUACUUUUUAAGAGAGAGUGAAGAAUAGGCAGUGGAAAGUUUGAAACUUUCCCAAAGCUAAAGGUAAAAGUUUCCGGCUUUACCCUACCAAAUUGCCGACGGCACCCUCUGUUUCCACUUUUCUGGGAUGAAAUCUGAGCCCCUUUACGCUUUCUUUGACCUUUCUGAUUCAAGAGCAAGGAAAGCUUGCUUUUAUACUGCUAUACUACGGUGUCGUUUUACCUUGAUCAGGUCCAAGCGGCGACGUUUUGGCCCUGCUACAAAAGUACAAAAGUACAAAAACCCCCCCCAUUCUAUAGCUUUUUUGUGUUUUUGUCGUCUACUCUGGGUUUCCAUGGAAGGGCCUGUACUUGUUGAUACCCAGGUUUCAAUCUUCGUGCAUCUCUCAUAUUCAUAAGACCUAAGGCCCUACUCCUCUUGUGCAAUAUUUAGAUCUUCAUUAUGGAGAUCAGACUUCUAGUUGGUAAGUUGGAAGCCUAAGAAAGAUAAAGUGCGCCCUACAACAUGAAUGCUCUAAAGACUUACUGGCAAGUUGCGAUGGCCGGUGAAAUGUUCUGAAAUCACGGCUAUGGAGACUUGGAGCUGAUAUAAGAAUUUAAGCGCAAAUAAAGAUGAUUACUAGGCAGUGACCAGUAAAGUGCAUUUCUUGUCUGCAUACUGAAUCGAAACUAAUAUUGCAGCAAUUUUAACUUGGUUUGCAAUGAUGACAAGUCUACAAUUGUGAACCAGCUCCAUGGCCUUGAUGCAUCCUCACACUUGGUCAGUGCUUCAUCUAGUUAUUGAUAUGUCUUAAUUUGUUGAUGUAGUAUGUCUGCAUGCUUAAGGUUCCUUGAUAGCCACGUUUUUCUUUUUCAUGCCAGACCCAGGUUCUAUUCUACCAUUUACAUAUGCUAUAUAUAGCUACUGUAUUUUCAAUCUUCAUGCACAUUUAAUAUUCACAAGGUCAGGAUCCUGAUGUCUUGUUGGUCUUUCUUGGACAUCGUUUCUGCCUCUGCCACCAUCAUCAUUCUCUUCAUCUCUUUCUAUGAGCAAGAAAGGGUCAACAACUUCCAUAACAUGGUCAGGCAACGCCAUAGCUGUACACUGGUGAAUGCUUAGACCAUCUUUGAACAUGUCAUCGGGUUGCUGAAAGUAUCUGGUUUGCAUCGAUAGCAUUGUCAGUGCCAGAGGAAACUUCUUUUUUUUUUCUUUUUUUCUUUUUUUUUGUUCCGGUUCAAUAAACUUUGAAGAGUGAUCUAAAUUAUUAGCGCUUCCAAUCAUGAAACUUGCGGGAUGGGGAAGCAGAAGGAGAGUGGUUGAUGGCAAAGGUUGCUAGCUAAUGGAAAAGCUUAGCAUGCCAAAGUGAAAAGAGAGAUAAUACUCUAGCAAGCGCAUCAAAUCCUCCUGGCAGCUCAAAUAUGUACAGUGCUUCAUGCAAUUGAAAAUUUUCUUGUUCUUGUAAAAGCCAACUUAGAAGACAAAACUAUACAGCUCCAGACUAUGUCAAUACAAUUUCAUAGCGUGUAUAACUAGCUAUCGGACUUAUUAACAUAUAGCGAGUAUGCAAGUUGAUGUCACCUAUCUUAGUAUACUGUAUACAUAUGUCUCUAUAUGUCCAAAUGUGAUAGGCCAGUUAAAUUUCCGUUUGGGAGAGCUCUCUCGAAAAGGAU